AAGCAAGCGGAGGCACCGACCUGAGGAACGCUCAAAAUUAAAAUUUAAGAGCAAGCCCGGGAAUUUACGGUGGAGGGGUGCAAGUUCCGAGGGGACGCCGGAAAAGCCUGCGACGUCCACCCCUGACGACCGCCCUCGGGGGCGAACUGCCGCUCAGGAGGGCGAUCCGGACGCCCUGCCCGCGGCCCCGGCACGGCAGCCCCGGCGCGGCGGCCCGGCUUCGGCUUCCGCCCCAGCCCGGUCCCGGCGUCCUGCACCGCCGGCCCGGCCUCACUCACAGCAUGAUCCGCGAGACGUGCAGCCGCACCGGGACGCUCCUGUCUUUGAAGGCGGUGGUGAUGAAGCAGCCGAAGGUGAGCGCCGCCAUCACGCUCAGCGAGAAGGCGAACAGUGAGUUCGCCCGCGACAGCACCGUGUUCAUCGCGAUCGUCUCCCACGAGUCCGGACUCCACACGCACACCCAGGCUCCCGUUCCGGCGGCGGACCGGCUCCCUGCGAUCCGCGCCGUCUGCGGUGCGCGCGUUCCGGGAGCGCGCGCCGCCGCAGCCCCGCCUCCUUUCCGGUCCUCCGACGCGAGCGCGCGCGCGCCCGCUUCCCGAAACACACCCACAGCGCGCACGGGGCGGCGCGGAAAGGGAGAGACUCAGCCGCGGGCCCGCCCCUCCGUCGCGGCCUAACGCCGCCACCAAUCAGCGACGAGUGAGGGAGGGGCGGGGUUUGUUGUGGAAGACCCACCCCCUCCUCUUCUAAAUUGCUUCUCCGACCUUUGGGUUCAGAGAAUUGGGAACCGGUCGUUCGCUGUCCUUUUUCGGUUCUUUGGUCAGAGGUCUGGGACUGCGACUUCUUGAUUACUUAUGUACCAUUUAUUUUCACUUGAAACCGGCAGCAAGUUAAGGUGGUUUAGAAUCUGUCCUGACGGGUGGCGUUUGGAAGCAGCACUUUACAAAACGCCUGGUCCUCUCCCUUCUUUGUCAAACCUGGUCAAAGUUAGGACUUGAGCUUUUUUUGGAGGAUCUGAGGAGCAGUGGGGAGUGGGGAAUUAGCCGCCCAAGUCCUUAAAGCUGUCACGUGCAUCAGUAUUUCCACCUCCAACGUCAGUCCAAUUCCUAUUAAUGCUUUGCUUUGUAUGGAUAGCUAAAGAUGUUUUAGAAGAUAAGGGUUGAGGCUACCGAUCCUAAGUAUUUGCAUUUUAACAUGGUGAUUUCUGAUAAAUAAAAGGAUAACCUUUCUGGGUUC
rnacentral:lncRNA from 1 species